AUCCAUCUCUUUCACCCCCAAACCACUAACAGCUGCUCCUCCCACACAAACACCAGCCUCAUCCAGUGGGGGGGAUUCCAAAGUGUUCGGGUGUGGUCAGGUGUGGUCAGGUAUGGUCAGGUGUGGUCAGGUAUUCAGGUAUGGUCAGGUAUGGUCAGGUGUGGUCAGGUAUGAUCAGGUAUUCAGGUGUGGUGAGUUAUGGUCAGGUGUGGUCAGGUGUGGUCAGGUAUGGUCAGGUGUGGUCAGGUGUGGUCAGGUAUUCAGGUAUGGUCAGGUAUGGUCAGAUAUGGUCAGGUGUGGUCAGGUAUGAUCAGGUAUUCAGGUGUGGUGAGUUAUGGUCAGGUAUGGUCAGGUAUGGUCAGGUGUGGUCAGGUAUGAUCAGGUAUUCAGGUGUGGUGAGUUAUGGUCAGGUAUGGUCAGGUAUGGUCAGGUGUGGUCAGGUAUGAUCAGGUAUUCAGGUGUGGUGAGUUAUGGUCAGGUGUGGUCAGGUGUGGUCAGGUAAGGUCAGGUGUGGUCAGGUAUGAUCAGGUAUUCAGGUGUGGUGAGUUAUGGUCAGGUAUGGUCAGGUGUGGUCAGGUAUGAUCAGGUAUUCAGGUGUGGUGAGUUAUGGUCAGGUAUGGUCAGGUAUGGUCAGGUGUGGUCAGGUAUGAUCAGGUAUUCAGGUGUGGUGAGUUAUGGUCAGGUGUGGUCAGGUAAGGUCAGGUAUGGUCAGGUAUUCAGG
ensembl:lncRNA